UACGGGGGGGCAAGCGUUGUUCGGAAUUACUGGGCGUAAAGGGCUCGUAGGUGGCCAACUAAGUCAGACGUGAAAUCCCUCGGCUUAACCGGGGAACUGCGUCUGAUACUGGAUGGCUUGAGUUUGGGAGAGGGAUGCGGAAUUCCGAUGGUGAGCGGUGAAAUGCGCGAUAUCGGGAGGAACACCUAUGGCGAAGGCAGCUCGCUGGGACGUUACUGACGCUGAGACGCGAAAGCGUGGGGAGCAAACAGG
rnacentral:rRNA from 1 species